AGAGUUUGAUCCUGGCUCAGGACGAACGCUGGCGGCAUGCCUAACACAUGCAAGUCGAACGAGAAAGUUCCUUCGGGAGCGAUUAAAGUGGCGCACGGGUGAGUAACGCGUAGACAAUCUGCCCUUCAGUCUGGGACAACUUUUCGAAAGGAGAGCUAAUACCGGAUGACAAUGUAACACAUAAGUGUCACAUUUGAAAGCUCCGGCGCUGAAGGAGGAGUCUGCGUCCCAUUAGCUAGUUGGUAAGGUAAAGGCUUACCAAGGCAACGAUGGGUAGCGGGUUUGAGAGGACGAUCCGCCACACUGGAACUGAGACACGGUCCAGACUCCUACGGGAGGCAGCAGUGGGGAAUAUUGCACAAUGGGCGCAAGCCUGAUGCAGCAAUGCCGCGUGAGUGAAGAAGGCCCUUGGGUCGUAAAGCUCUUUUAUGGGGGAAGAUGAUGACGGUACCCCAAGAAUAAGCACCGGCUAACUAUGUGCCAGCAGCCGCGGUAAUACAUAGGGUGCGAGCGUUGUUCGGAAUUACUGGGCGUAAAGGGCGCGCAGGCGGAAUAGCAAGUCGGAGGUGAAAGCCCGGGGCUCAACCCCGGAGGGUCUUUCGAAACUGCUAAUCUAGAGAGGGUCAGGGGCCAGCAGAAUUCUUGGUGUAGAGGUGAAAUUCGUAGAUAUCAAGAGGAAUACCGGUGGCGAAAGCGGCUGGCUGGGGCCACUCUGACGCUGAGGCGCGAAAGCGUGGGGAGCAAACAGGAUUAGAUACCCUGGUAGUCCACGCCGUAAACGA
rnacentral:rRNA from 1 species